UGGGGAAUUUUGGACAAUGGGGGAAACCCUGAUCCAGCCAUCCCGCGUGUGCGAUGAAGGCCUUCGGGUUGUAAAGCACUUUUGGCAGGAAAGAAACGUCGCGGGUUAAUACCCCGCGAAACUGACGGUACCUGCAGAAUAAGCACCGGCUAACUACGUGCCAGCAGCCGCGGUAAUACGUAGGGUGCAAGCGUUAAUCGGAAUUACUGGGCGUAAAGCGUGCGCAGGCGGUUCGGAAAGAAAGAUGUGAAAUCCCAGAGCUUAACUUUGGAACUGCAUUUUUAACUACCGGGCCAGAGUGUGUCAGAGGGAGGUGGAAUUCCGCGUGUAGCAGUGAAAUGCGUAGAUAUGCGGAGGAACACCGAUGGCGAAGGCAGCCUCCUGGGAUAACACUGACGCUCAUGCACGAAAGCGUGGGGAGCAAACAGGAUUAGAUACCCUGGUAGUCCACGCCCUAAACGAUGUCAACUAGCUGUUGGGGCCUUCGGGCCUUGGUAGCGCAGCUAACGCGUGAAGUUGACCGCCUGGGGAGUACGGUCGCAAGAUU
rnacentral:rRNA from 1 species